GUGGGGAAUAUUGGACAAUGGGCGCAAGCCUGAUCCAGCCAUGCCGCGUGAGUGAUGAUGGCCCUAGGGUUGUAAAGCUCUUUCACCGGAGAAGAUAAUGACGGUAUCCGGAGAAGAAGCCCCGGCUAACUUCGUGCCAGCAGCCGCGGUAAUACGAAGGGGGCUAGCGUUGUUCGGAUUUACUGGGCGUAAAGCGCACGUAGGCGGAUUGGUCAGUUAGAGGUGAAAUCCUGGAGCUCAACUCCAGAACUGCCUUUAAUACUGCCAGUCUAGAGUCCAGAAGAGGUGAGUGGAACUCCUAGUGUAGAGGUGAAAUUCGUAGAUAUUCGGAAGAACACCAGUGGCGAAGGCGACUCACUGGCCCAAUACUGACGCUGAGGCGCGAAAGCGUGGGGAGCAAACAGGAUUAGAUACCCGAGUAGUCC
rnacentral:rRNA from 1 species